AUUGAACGCUGGCGGCAGGCCUAACACAUGCAAGUCGAACGAGUGGCGGACGGGUGAGUAAUGUCUGGGAAACUGCCUGAUGGAGGGGGAUAACUACUGGAAACGGUAGCUAAUACCGCAUACCAUCGGAUGUGCCCAGAUGGGAUUAGCUAGUAGGUGGGGUAAAGGCUCACCUAGGCGACGAUCCCUAGCUGGUCUGAGAGGAUGACCAGGCAAACGUGAAAUGGGGCAAGGGUCCGAACCCCAACGGAGGCAGCAGGGGGGAAUAAUUGAAAAAGGGCGGAAGGCGUAUUGCGCCAAGGCGAGUGUAGUAAGAAGGCCUUUGGGGUUGAAAGGAACUUCCGGCGGGAGGCGUUACCCGCAGAAGAAGCACCGGCUAACUCCGUGCCAGCAGCCGCGGUAAUUC
rnacentral:rRNA from 1 species